GACGAACGCUGGCGGCGUGCCUAAUACAUGCAAGUCGAACGCACUCUCGUUUAGAUUGAAGGAGCUUGCUCCUGAUUGAUAAACAUUUGAGUGAGUGGCGGACGGUGAGUAACACGUGGGUAACCUGCCCUAAAGUGGGGGAUAACAUUUGGAAACAGAUGCUAAUACCGCAUAAAACCUAACACCGCAUGGUGUAGGUUGAAAGAUGGUUUCGGCUAUCACUUUAGGAUGGACCCGCGGUGCAUUAGUUAGUUGGUGAGGUAAAGGCUCACCAAGACCGUGAUGCAUAGCCGACCUGAGAGGGUAAUCGGCCACACUGGGACUGAGACACGGCCCAGACUCCUACGGGAGGCAGCAGUAGGGAAUCUUCCACAAU
rnacentral:rRNA from 1 species